UGAUUUAGUUUCCAUCACUGAAGUACUGCCAGGAGAGGAAAAAUAAAACUACCAUACUGUGGAUGAGCUGCAAUCAAUAGUGGUCGCACAAAAGAGGGAAUGGAAUAUUCAGCCUUUCAGAGCAUCUCAGUAGAAUACCAUCUUUGAGCUGCAGUGAGUCAAUGAGGAUCUGCUUCUCCACUGGACAACAAAAUGAUCCAGAGUACAAGCCUUUACUCUGGGAACCAUUGCCAAGGAGAUGAUUAUUCAUUAAUGAUAUAAUCUUUGACCUGGAAGCCCUGUGCUCUGAGCACAGCCUGUGAAGCAACAGGGCCCUGGGGACAACCACACGUGUGUUCGAAGUCCAGCGCUGCAGGGAGGUGAGGGGUGCUGACACCAGGUUUUGAAUGGGCUGAGUGGUUUAAUUGAAAAGAGCAGCCAGUCACUGAAGAAAGAGUGAAUAACUCUCUCUGCCCGCCUGCUUUAGUGAGGACACGUUUACCAGGUGCCUCAUGAGGGACUCGAGGAAAAUACCAGAGACACCCAACUCAUUUCAUUUUGAAAACUGUGAAGGAAGAUGGUAGCUGUAGGUACCAGGAAUGUGCUGUCAUUGAAAUACAGUCCCAGUGUUUCUCAGCCUGCUCAUCCUGUGCAGUCUGUGAGAACCAGGGCACAGGGGCAAUGUAAAGUUGGAGCUGGAGAUGCCAGGGCCUGCAGCUGCCUUAGCUCAGGGUCAGCCCACAGCACACGGCUGCCUCAGGGCCCCUGGGGGCCCAGGAAGCCCCAGGUGCAAAUGUGUCUGCGUUGCACAGCUCGGACUCUGGACACACAGAGAAGCCUGUGGUCCCACAGCUUUGCAGAUAAACCACUUCUGGACUAAAAAAGAAAAACAAGAUAAACUGUUGGAGAGCUCUCAGCUGGGUCCUUGCAUGUGGUCUUAUGUGCUGAAAAGAGAGGAUGCCAAAAGAGUUCAGAUCAACAACACAGGG
rnacentral:lncRNA from 1 species